AUUGAUUUUUUGUUAAAAUUGUAAAAAAAAAAUACUAAGCUAAACUAUAAAAUUGUAACAGCAUUUUCCCAAAAACCUGUAAAAACCUGUUCUUUUAUGAAUGAUGUUGAUAUGUUUUUCUAUGAAUGAUGCUGAUAUUUGCAUUGAUAUUUAUCAUCUUUUGAGUGGUGCCGAUUUCCAUUGAUUAAUGAAAAUUUUGUUAUUUUGUUAGGUGAAUCAUAUCUAAUUGUUGUGUAAUUUCUUUUGUACUUAUAUAAUUAUAUUUUGUAUAUUUUUCAGAUAAAUAAUAAAAAAUAUAUAAUAACAUAAAAUUGAAAUGUGGUUAAAUCUAUGAUUGUAACUUAAAAUCUGAUUAUGACAAAAAUAAUUGAAUUUGACCUGAAAUUUAAUUGAGAAUUCAAAAAUAGUUCGAAACACUUGAACGUGCACAUCCACCCAAUCUCAUAAAAGGGGCUUUUCUGGCUAUUUAGAAAGUGAGGGUUAAAAUUACAAAUAAAGAAAAAGAUUUUCAAAGUUAAUUAAUUUACAAAAAGGGAUGCGGUCACUUUCGGAGUAAUACACGGAAUCAUCAUUCUCAUCUUCUGCAUCGUCUGCUUCAUCACCAUGGAAGGCUCCUGCUGUAACAACCGCCGCCCCUCUUAGUCUCUCCCUGCAUUAGAUCAAUCAGAUGUCGUUCUCACCUAUAAGACUGGUGAUUCUGUUUCUGGAUCUGUGCGUAGAGACGCUGGACUCUCUCACUCAACGCCGGCGUGUGAGGAUCACGUGCAUCAUGACGGAGGUGCGUGUAGUCACUUGCAUGAUCACGAUCAUCAUCAUGAGGUGGUGAAGAUGAAGUUGCCGGAGGAGCUGGUUGAGGAAGAGGAUAUGAGGUUAUGUGGGUUUGAGCCUUGUCUUCAUCAUGACCAUGAUCAUGAAUCAAGUUCUAAUAUUUCUGGAUUUGCAUUUUGGUUAGCUUGGCGUCGCUCUUUUGUCUGAUAUUGCUGCCAGUUAUGUUCGUCUACAGUUCAAGGGAAGCCUGCAAAAUGGUUUGUUGAUGCAUUGGCUUGACACACAACUGCAGCAGAUUUGGCCAGAUCACCCUAUCCUAUUUGACUUCUGGCGAAGAGUUAAUGUGGACAGGAAAGUAUGGAGCUCGACUUGUUCUUCUGAUCUAGCUGGUCGAAGAAUCCAUCUGUCUUGGUCAUACAAUUAAUGGACACCAAGUCUAGAGGCAGAUCUUCCCAAGAAUGUUCAAAGAUUACCCUUAGAAGACCAGUUAUGGUGCCAAAACAGUCAGAUUCUGUGGAUAGGAAAGCAUGGAGAGCAACCAGAUAACAUGGAUAUAUAACUUAAUCUGAUAUAUAUUCUGUUUAUUUUGUUGCUUUUAUACGACCAUAUGUGUAUUACAUGGCUCAUCGAGAUAGAAAUAAGGAAGCAAAGCGAUGACUUUUCUCCAACUGUUCUGCAACAAUUUAAUCACUGUGUUUAAAAAGGCGCUCGCCUUAUGCGCCAAGGCGCAAGGCGCACUCAGGCGAUAGCUCCAUCGCCAUGCACAUCCCAGGCGAGGGUAUGGUCCCUAAGGCGCUCGCCUAGUGCGCUUUGGCCAUAAGGCGGUGCCUUCAAAAGCGAUGCAAAGGCGCGCCUUGGAGACCCUAUGUUAACCGACACUAAACCAGGUACGAAACCAAACCCUGCUUUAACUAAUUCACCAAUCUUAUAACAAAACGUCAAAAAUACUCACCAAAACCCUAGCUCCCUCUUCAAAGUUAAAACUAAACGUCAAAAAUUCUCACAAAACAUAGAUCUCACAGUGUUUUGCUUAAGGUUAGAGUAUUAUCUACUCUUCUCUAGUCUCAUAGGUUCUUCUUCUUAUUAUUAUGACUACUUGGGUUUCUUGGUUACAGUCUAGAAUGCACUGCGAUUGUUUAUCUCUGUAAUUUUGGUGCUUCUUUUCUUUUAUACAGUAAGUGAUUGACGCUUACGUAAUUGACGCUUACUAGUAUAUUGUAGCUUGAGGACUCCUGUGAUCAAGUUGAUGUAUAAUCUUUGUUUGUAACUGAAACAAAUCUAAUAUAUAUUGAAAUUCAUUUUUAACAUGUAUUUUAUUGCUCUUUAUGGUAUAGUUUGUGUUUGCAUGUUUUUUACGUAAUUGAAUGCUUUAUUUGCAUGUUCAUCAUCAUAGUAAUUUAGUUUUUUUUUUAAUCACAGUUUCAAGUGGUCUUCAAGGCGAGCGCCUCGAUGCGCCUUGGCGCAAGGCGCAAGGCACAUACUUCAUCGCCAUGGAGCGCCAUGCGCCUUUUUAAACACAGAUUGUCAGUAAAUUGCAGUCAAAAUAUUUUUAAAAUAAAGAAAGCCUGAAUCAUCUUCAUCUAAGGUAAAAGUGUCAAACCUUCACAAGAGAAAGCAUCAGAUCACUGCGUUAUUCAUGGACAUGAAGAAGAUCAUGCCUUCUUCUUAAACACGUUUGCUCUUGCUUUGCCUAUCCAUCUUUCUCAUCGCUUCAACUGAUAAGAUCACUCCACUGCUCAACUUGGUAUCUCUAGUCACCCUUUUUACAUUUUUUAUAUCUUUUGUUUUGAGAAAUUUUUCAGAGGUGAUGAUGGUGGAAGGAAGAGUUUGCCAGAGGCGAAGCCAGACAUGGACAGGAUUUUGUGGCAACACUCGCGGCUGUGACAUUCAGUUUAAGAGAUGGGAACGGGCUUCACACGGGGCUUGUCAUGCUCAGUUCGCAUGUUUUUGCUACUUCAACUGCUGAAGCAAGCAGAAAGUUCUCUGAAUCUUCUUCAAGUGUCACGGUGUUGUCUUCUUUUGUUCUGUUGCGAAUCAUGUACGUAGUCUCUAUGACAAAACCAUAACGUUUACCGUGGGUUCUAAUAAAAUCCAGUUUGUGCUUGGGAGUUACCAUUA